UGAUGAAGACUAUUUGUUGGCAUAGUUGCUACCUAACAAAUUUUUAUAACAUUUAUGAUUUGAUUUAUCUCUAAAUAAUAAGAUCAAACUUUCCGUUGAAACACACGAACGGAUGGCCAAAGCUACCGGUCAAUUCUUGCAUUUCUUUUAACCUAAUUUCUUAUUUAAUAUUACAAAUCCUCAAGAAUCAAGACAUAUCCAUCAAUAUAUCAUAUCAUUUAAAAAAAAAACUGAAAUAUCCUUAACAAAAACAACAAGAAGAGACAUUGAAUAAUAAGGUUCAAAUCUUCAAGAAGAGUGGCAUGAGUCUGCAUCUUCAUAUCGGUACGCAAUGCUCAUCCAUUUUGUUUGUUAUUUUAUUUUGAUUAUUGACAUAGUUGCAUGUACUAGAUGUGACUGUGUAUAUGCAGAUGAGAAUGUAUAUGUUUCAUGCAUGUUAUGUAUCUGAUGCAUAUACGGAUAUACUCGGUUUAUUUGUCAGUUAUAAUGUUCUUCGUUGAAAUCUUGUUCUUGAGUUUUCUAGUCACAACUUCAUAACUUUUUUUCGUUUAAUGGUACAACGAGAGAUCUAGGAGAUAAAUCCAGUAUCCAAUCUACAAAUGACUAUAUCUAGCAAUAAAUCAAAAGAUCUUUAAAAAUGCAGCUUAUAAUAAGAAAUUAUUCAAUAAGAUAUCAUUGUUUCUUGGUCUAGAUCGUUUGGUUAUGCCAGAGGAUUUCAGUUAUACAGUUAUUUAAUUUUGCUGCUGUGAUGUGGACCGAAGGGUCAAAGAGAAGAUCACUCGCAUGCGAAGUUCGCUUAGGUCAACUUAUGUAAACGUCAAUUAAUCUAACGCUUGUAACGAUUGGAUGUAGUGGUAUUAUAUUAAGCUUAGUCUAUAUUCUAGUUUCGUAGGCUUUAGUAGGUUAGUAAACGCCACUUAGGCCCAAUACGGAUUAUGUGGGCCUACUUUUGCUUACGCUAGUCUCCUGGCGUUUUUGUGAAUCCGUAAAUGAGGAAACGUGUAAAGGCUCAGUGUGUAAACGGCAUGGUGUUCGUUUCGAUUUAACGGAAUGAUAACGCAUGGACCACCAGUCACCAACGAGAUAAUGAAGAAGUAGACAUAAACAGUGAAUCUGCAUAAUAAAAUGCAUUGCAUUACGCAUAUAUGUGCAUUUUAGUUACAUGAAAAUAUAAUCACCAAUUAACACUAGUCUAGAAAGUAGAAACAUAUAUAAAGCUAAAUGCGAAUUACAUAAUCUAUGAAUUCAACUUAUUACACAAACCAAGCCAUAUAUAUACAUGAGAAUUCAUCUUUUUUUAAGUGAAUUUAUCUAUACAUGCAACUACAUACAUUCGUGUGAUUGAAAUGUCUGUAUAUACGUACAUCUUACUAUCUUAGUAACAUAAAAUUAUAUAUAAUCAUCAAUCAAAACACUGGACUAGAAAGUAGAAACAUAUAUAGAGAUAUAUGUGAUAAUGUAAAGCACUUAAGAAAUGAGAGUAUUCAACUUAUUAUACAACCCAUAUGACUUCAUCUAUACAUGCAAGUACAUACACGUGAUUAACAAAAUUAAGAAUGGCAAGGUUUGAGUUUUGAUUCAAAUUUAGAAUUACAUGAAAGUGGAGUGCAUCCUCUUUGUAUGUAAACUUUUCCCGAAUAGGGUUAAGUAGCCUUUUAGAUACGUUAUACAAACGGAUGCAAUUAUUAUGGAGAUUAAACAAAUAAAAUAUCUUCUAUCAUAAUUUUGUUUUCACAUUGCACUUGAUUAAAAACUAAACAAGAAUCAAAACUCAAACCUUGCUGCAAAACAACUUAGCACACAUAUAUAUAUACCGACUUAUAUGAGUAUGUUUACACAUGAGGUAUAUAUUUAUUUUGUAAUCACACAGAUCGCCACAAAACAACUUAGCACACAUAUAUAUAUACCGACCUUUGAAAUCACAUGACUACACACUUCUUGAAGCAUGGUAGAUAUAGAAGACAUCACGACCGAUCAAAUCAUAUAUCUUCUAAUCUCUGGCCAUGUUCUAAGCUAGACGACGUUCCAGCAAUCGCACCAGUACAAUCUUGCGUCCGUAACGGCUGGGACAAUGGAAUAUUACUAUCAAAAGGAUCAUCAUUGAUAAGCGCAUUUAGAAACGAAGAAAACUUAUCAUCGUAACAGAAACCAAAG
rnacentral:lncRNA from 1 species